AUCAUGUGACCAGAAAAUGGAGGCGAAUCUGUAUUUCCAGUUAACUGCUCAGAAGAGAGAUGCUGAAGAGCUGUAGUCGUGCAUCCUUCUCACCCUCCUGUUAGAAAGCCUCCUCUCAUCCUCAGAAGACUACUGUCAGAGGAUGUAGGAAUGGACAUCCCCUUUGAAGAGGGCGUGCUGAGUCCCAGUGCUGCAGACAUGAGGCCUGAACCUCCCAAUUCUCUGGAUCUUAAUGACGCUCAUCCUCGGAGAAUCAAGCUCACAGCCCCAAAUAUCAAUCUUUCUCUGGACCAAAGUGAAGGAUCUAUUCUCUCUGAUGAUAACUUGGACAGUCCAGAUGAAAUUGACAUCAAUGUGGAUGAACUUGAUACCCCCGAUGAAGCAGAUUCUUUUGAGUACACUGGCCAUGAAGAUCCCACAGCCAACAAAGAUUCUGGCCAAGAGUCAGAGUCUAUUCCAGAAUAUACGGCCGAAGAGGAACGGGAGGACAACCGGCUUUGGAGGACAGUGGUGAUUGGAGAACAAGAGCAGCGCAUUGACAUGAAGGUCAUCGAGCCCUACAGGAGAGUCAUUUCUCACGGAGGAUACUAUGGGGAUGGUCUAAAUGCCAUCAUUGUGUUUGCCGCCUGUUUUCUGCCAGACAGCAGUCGGGCGGAUUACCACUAUGUCAUGGAAAAUCUUUUCCUAUAUGUAAUAACUACUUUCACACUACAGCCGCAGAGCUGAGCAGUUCAGCAGACCGUAUGUCCCACAAUGCCUAAAACAUUGACUAUGUUUACAGAAAAAGUUUGCUGACCCCUGCUCUAGCAAACGCAUCCUUUCCUACUCCACCCCAAUUUGUAUUUAGAUAGUUUCUCUAACAGAACGGACAAAUGAGGCUGCAUACUAAUUUAUUUUUGUCAAAAAUCAAUGUUUUGACAUCCACAGACAGUGAAAUAAAAGAAAUGGCUUGCUGAAAAACAUAAGGAGUCCUAGCCACAAAAUCACUGCUUAGGUUGCAAUUGCCAAAAUGAAGCCUUCUUAGAAGCACUUCUUUAGUAUAUACAGGUGUUGGCUGAAGUCUGUGCCUCACUCUGGGAACCAUUCUUAGUCUCCAGUGUCUCCUAUUACAAAGAAGCUGGCAGAAAUAAAAAUGAAGGGGUGAGAGCGGUUCCACCCUAGUCUCAUGGUGGAAAAUUCACUGGGGAGAGCUGUCCAGGAUACUUGGAGUCCUGGGUAGAAGGAGCCUGUAACUACUUUAAAGUAGACGUCUUUGCACAGGUGAUUGAGUUUCUCUGACCUCAUUGCUUCACCUCUGUCUCCUCCUGUCCUUCCGCACUUGCUCACACACACGCAGUUCAGCCCUCUUUCCUCCAUAAGCCUCCAUCGUUUUCUCUUUUCUCCUCUUGAUCCUUUCAAGCGAGUAUCUUGUUGAAUUGUAUGUUCUGUUGGAUCUCCUCCUUCAUAACAUCUGGCUUGUUGGACAGAAAAACCCUACAGCCCACCCCCUCCCACAGCCCACCUCCACUUUUGAAAGCCCAAAUUACGCCUCUCCCAGAACACAGUGUUGACGUAAAUACGGUUACCCAAUAUUCCUGUUUAUUCACCUAUUUGCUACUUUCACUCAGUAGCAUCCCAUUUUGUAAAAUGAAUUCCAUGGUCACCCUGUCACAGGAAGUAAUGAAAAAUCCAGUGUUCAGUGUAGUUGUGCAAACCUGAGGGCAUAGAGCUGUUCAUAGAGGGCUCUUGUUAUAGCCAAACAGACACAGCAACAAUCUCACCAUCUAUAUAUAUAUUUUUAACUUGUCCAGCUCAUCUAUGGAAAACUACUCAGGUGGUAUGCUGUUUGAAGCCUCAUCUUCCUACAUGAAAAUUAUGGGCAUUUGUCCCAAUGAUUUUGUUUCAGCUGUUCUGUAGGCUGCAUAACCACUCUGAUAUUUAGGUAUCUGCUAUUUUAUUAUCUUAAAAGACAAAUUAAUUUAAUUGCAUGUGCUAGGGAAAAGCUACCAUGUAAAUUCACCCCAAGUAAAUAGAAUCCUAGAUGAAUCCUAGAAAAAUAAUCCCUAAGCAGAUAGGUAGACAGAGGUAAACAUUCACAUGAUUUAGCUCUCUAGCUCUUGCACUCUGAACAUUCUUGCUUUGGUUCUGACUUCUGGGAACUGCUUUGCAUUUCUCCUAUAGAUCUGUAGUUAAGGGAACCAAGGGGUCAUUGGGGCACAAGCAUUGUUUCUCAAAGCUCCUUGAUUAAGAGAAAGAACAGAAAUUUGCACAGAAGAUACUGUCAAGGAGUGAGAAAGUUUGUUUGAGGGCAGUAGCUCAGUGUGGAAGAAAAUCCUGAAGUUUCUGUUGAAGCCAUACAAUGUUCUAUGGGGUUACUCUCUAAGACAUUCUCUGAGGUGUGUGAGGAAGUCACUACUCCUAGCCUUUGUUAAGAUGUAAUUUUAAAUAUUCAGUUAUGGUACUAUGUUUGCAACUCUCGUCUUAUCACAAUGCCUCAGUAGUUUGUUCCCUUAGAAACAUUUAGAUGUGCACAAAUUAAUCUUUUAUAUAUCUAAAGGUUUUUCUAUCAUGUAUUGGAUUGCUCAGAAUAAAGUGUCUGUUAGACUUCGUUUUGGUAAAUAAAUUCUCCAUAAUGUAGAUUAAUAAUAUAAAAGUCUUUAAUGACACAAUAUAUCUAUAUAGCCUCACUGUAUAAUUCAGAAAUAAAAAUUGAUUCUGCA
rnacentral:sRNA from 1 species